rnacentral:rRNA from 1 species
GAUGAACGCUGGCGGCGUGCCUAAUACAUGCGAGUCGAGCGAAUGGAUUAAGAGCUUGCUCUUAUGAAGUUAGCGGCGGACGGGUGAGUAACACGUGGGUAACCUGCCCAUAAGACUGGGAUAACUCCGGGAAACCGGGGCUAAUACCGGAUAACAUUUUGAACCGCAUGGUUCGAAAUUGAAAGGCGGCUUCGGCUGUCACUUAUGGAUGGACCCGCGUCGCAUUAGCUAGUUGGUGAGGUAACGGCUCACCAAGGCAACGAUGCGUAGCCGACCGGAGAGGGUGAUCGGCCACACUGGGACUGAGACACGGCCCAGACUCCUACGGGAGGCAGCAGUAGGGAAUCUUCCGCAAUGGACGAAAGUCUGACGGAGCAACGCCGCGUGAGUGAUGAAGGCUUUCGGGUCGUAAAACUCUGUUGUUAGGGAAGAACAAGUGCUAGUUGAAUAAGCUGGCACCUUGACGGUGCCUAACCAGAAAGCCACGGCUAACUACGUGCCAGCAGCCGCAGUAA